AUGUUGCCACGGAAACACACUUAUGUCAUAAUCUCAGACCACAUUAAAACUGUCAGACAAGCUCAGGUAGAGCGCAUUAGCUACAUUCGAACGAUCUCUCGACCUGUAACUGAUUUGAUUGAUUACAACAAUACACUACCUUGUCGGGACAUGGGUCAGAGACUAAGUGACCCUGUCCCUGAGGUAUCCCCUAGGGAGAAACCAAAGGAUACACAGGAACAUAAAGAUAAACCCAAGGAGAAGAGGAUCCCUCAAGCCCUGACCUUUCUUCAGCUGUUUACACUGCUGAGCUGCGUCAAGGUGAAGAAAACACCCUUUGAUCCCUCCCAGAGUGGUGAGGGGAGAAAGGGAACAACGAUAAACGAUACGAACAACAAUAAUGACUCUGAUACUGGUGACGUGAAAAGGAUCAAGGACAAGAGUAAAGGAAAGGUUGGGGGAGAGAAACAUUGCAUUGAAUCUCAGGACCACAAAUGCAGAACCACACCGGAAAAAGAAAAAGACAUUAAACAAAGACCUAACUCGGUCUCCCCCAAGGAGAAAGCAAAGGAGACCCAGCAGAAAGAGAAGAAGAGCACCCAUCCAGCUGUGGCGGCCCUGCAGCUGUUCACUCUCUUCUGCUGUGGUGGGAAAGUCAAGCUGAGGAAGACUCGUCCCUCUCAGAACAGACAGAGUAGAAAGGACCAGGACAAAGAUAAUGCAUCUGAUACUGGCUCGGACUUGUCUGGAGGUGAUGUUACAACCAAAAGGGUAAAGGACAAGAGUAAGGGAAAGGUGGGGAGGGAGAAAAACCAGACUGAAGUUCAGCUGUUGAAAUCAUCUCAAGACCACAAACCCAUAAGUACAACACCAGAAACAGACAAGGGAACUAAUUCGGGACAAAGACCUAACUCUGAAAAUCGAAGGACACCCCGGCAAGUGAAGACCCCUGUGGAGGAAAUUUACAUAAGACCUGACUCUCCGACUCUACCACGUGCCCACGUAAGUUACUGAAACCUAAAUUACUGUACGGACAGACAGAGAUU
rnacentral:lncRNA from 8 species